rnacentral:rRNA from 1 species
UAGGGAAUUUUGGACAAUGGGGGCAACCCUGAUCCAGCAAUGCCGCGUGUGUGAAGAAGGCCUUCGGGUUGUAAAGCACUUUUGUCCGGAAAGAAAUCCUUGGCUCUAAUACAGUCGGGGGAUGACGGUACCGGAAGAAUAAGCACCGGCUAACUACGUGCCAGCAGCCGCGGUAAUACGUAGGGUGCAAGCGUUAAUCGGAAUUACUGGGCGUAAAGCGUGCGCAGGCGGUUUGCUAAGACCGAUGUGAAAUCCCCGGGCUCAACCUGGGAACUGCAUUGGUGACUGGCAGGCUAGAGUAUGGCAGAGGGGGGUAGAAUUCCACGUGUAGCAGUGAAAUGCGUAGAGAUGUGGAGGAAUACCGAUGGCGAAGGCAGCCCCCUGGGCCAAUACUGACGCUCAUGCACGAAAGCGUGGGGAGCAAACAGGAUUAGAUACCCUGGUAGUCCACGCCCUAAAACGAUGUCAACUAGUUGUUGGGGAUUCAUUUCCUUAGUAACGUAGCUAACGCGUGAAGUUGACCGCCUGGGGAGUACGGUCGCAAGAUUAAAACUUAAAUGAAUUGACGGGGUCAUAGCUG